rnacentral:pre_miRNA from 1 species
CAAGUACUCCCUCCGUCCGGAAAUACUUGUCGAAGAAAUGGAUGUAUCUAGAUGUAUUUUAGUUCUAAGAUACAUCCAUUUUUAUCAAUUUCUAUGACAAGUAUAUCCGGACGGAGGGAGUACCUU